AGUCGAACGCGUCUCCGUUAAUGAUUUUAGGUGCUUGCAUUUGAAAGAUUUAACAUUGAGACGAGUGGCGAACUGGUGAGUAACACGUGGGUAACCUGCCCUUGAAGUAGGGGAUAACACUUGGAAACAGGUGCUAAUACCGUAUAACAACCAAAACCACCUGGUUUUGGUUUAAAAGACGGCUUCGGCUGUCACUUUAGGAUGGACCCGCGGCGUAUUAGCUUGUUGGUAAGGUAACGGCCUACCAAGGCGAUGAUACGUAGCCGACCUGAGAGGGUAAUCGGCCACAUUGGGACUGAGACACGGCCCAAACUCCUACGGGAGGCAGCAGUAGGGAAUCUUCCACAAUGGACGAAAGUCUGAUGGAGCAACGCCGCGUGAGUGAUGAAGGGUUUCGGCUCGUAAAACUCUGUUGUUGGAGAAGAACAGGUGUCAGAGUAACUGUUGACAUCUUGACGGUAUCCAACCAGAAAGCCACGGCUAACUACGUGCCAGCAGCCGCGGUAAUACGUAGGUGGCAAGCGUUGUCCGGAUUUAUUGGGCGUAAAGCGAGCGCAGGCGGUUUUUUAGGUCUGAUGUGAAAGCCUUCGGCUUAACCGGAGAAGUGCAUCGGAAACCGGGAGACUUGAGUGCAGAAGAGGACAGUGGAACUCCAUGUGUAGCGGUGAAAUGCGUAGAUAUAUGGAAGAACACCAGUGGCGAAGGCGGCUGUCUGGUCUGUAACUGACGCUGAGGCUCGAAAGCAUGGGUAGCGAACAGGAUUAGAUACCCUGGUAGUCCAUGCCGUAAACGAUGAGUGCUAAGUGUUGGAGGGUUUCCGCCCUUCAGUGCUGCAGCUAACGCAUUAAGCACUCCGCCUGGGGAGUACGACCGCAAGGU
rnacentral:rRNA from 1 species